UGGGGAAUAUUGCACAAUGGGCGCAAGCCUGAUGCAGCCAUGCCGCGUGUGUGAAGAAGGCCUUCGGGUUGUAAAGCACUUUCAGCGGGGAGGAAGGCGUUAAGGUUAAUAACCUUGGCGAUUGACGUUACCCGCAGAAGAAGCACCGGCUAACUCCGUGCCAGCAGCCGCGGUAAUACGGAGGGUGCAAGCGUUAAUCGGAAUUACUGGGCGUAAAGCGCACGCAGGCGGUCUGUCAAGUCGGAUGUGAAAUCCCCGGGCUCAACCUGGAAACUGCAUUCGAAACUGGCAGGCUAGAGUCUUGUAGAGGGGGGUAGAAUUCCAGGUGUAGCGGUGAAAUGCGUAGAGAUCCGGGGGAAUACCGGGGGCGAAGGCGGCCCCCUGGACAAAGACUGACGCUCAGGUGCGAAAGCGUGGGGAGCAAACAGG
rnacentral:rRNA from 1 species